rnacentral:rRNA from 1 species
ACCAAUACCCUCGGGAAACUGAGGCUAAUAGUGUAUACCAUACCACCACUGGAAUGAGUGGUAUGCCAAACGCUCCGGCGCCGAAGGAUGUGGCUGCGGCCGAUUAGGUAGACGGUGGGGUAACGGCCCACCGUGCCAAUAAUCGGUAUGGGUCAUGAGAGUGAGAACCCAGAGACGGAAUCUGAGACAAGAUUCCGGGCCCUACGGGGCGCAGCAGGCGCGAAACCUUUACACUGCACGACAGUGCGAUAGGGGGAUCCCAAGUGCACAGGCAUAGCGCCUGUGCUUUUCGGUACCCUAAGGCGGUACCAGAAUAAGGGCUGGGCAAGACCGGUGCCAGCCGCCGCGGUAAUACCGGCAGCCCAAGUGAUGGCCGAUCUUAUUGGGCCUAAAGCGUCCGUAGCUGGCCGCGCAAGUCCAUCGGGAAAUCCACCUGCUCAACAGGUGGGCGCCCGGUAGAAACUGCGUGGCUUGGGACCGGAAGGCGCGACGGGUACGUCCGGGGUAGGAGUGAAAUCCCGUAAUCCUGGACGGACCGCCGAUGGCGAAAGCACGUCGCGAGAACGGAUCCGACAGUGAGGGACGAAAGCCAGGGUCUCGAACCGGNAUUAGAUACCCGGGGUAGUCCUGGCCGUAAACAAUGUCUGCUAGGUGUGGCUCCCACUACGAGUGGGUGCUGUGCCGUAGGGAAGCCGCUAAGCAGACCGCNUGGGAAGUACGUCCGCAAGGAUGAACUUAAAGGAAUUUGGCGGGGGAGC